AUGGCUCGUCUCGUUGUCAAGGACGAUAUCACUUCUGAGGGAGUGCUGGCUGUAGGCCAGACUCUCCGGCUUGGCGGCUUCAUUAUGACCGCCCCAUCGGCUGUCACGCCGACGAUGGCCUCUCGGGUCAUCACGCGUAACCUUCGCAUUGGUUCGGAGCUUUCUGAACAGAUGGAUCCGAUGGAGCUCUCCUCUCUUAACGAGCUCUUGGAUCGCAUCGCCGCCUUGGGAGUCGCUAUGGACUAUGACCGGAUUGGGCUUAAACCCGACCAGAGGGACAUUAGAUCCCCGCCGGCCACCCAUGAGAUAGCGGUAGUGGAGGAAUCACACGUGGGUCGCCCGUCAACUUUGAGGACAAAUUAUGUUCGGAUCACCGAAUUCAGUGAGCCAAACACCCACCCAAAGGACUACAUGACCCAGGUCCCGGACUUAGAAUCGGGCGCUGGGCCAAAGGGAUUAGGUAAUGCUCCAGAUCCUGAACUGUCAGGCUCGGUACUUCCCGUGCCCCCGGGCGUCAGAUCGGAUCAAAAUCCGGCUUCAGCCAAUGACGCCCGCUCGGACUUAAUUCGCCUCUCCCGUGUCCGACAGGAGCCCCAGGAGACGGUACAUCGUUACUGGGCCAGAUUUCUCCUUGCUCUUAAUAAGGUCAAGGACUGCCACGAGGAGGACGUAGUCUCUCUUUUCUGCAGAAACUGCACGAACAAAGGACUCUUUAAUGCUAUAAGUCGCCGUGACAUAGAGCACCUUACAGACUUGGCAACCAUAGUACAAAUGUAUUGUGCGAUAGAAAGUGCCUGGAAAACCCAGACAGAAUUUUGGGAUAGUACGACCCUCACCGGAACCUUUGUCCGAACUAAACGGCCGAACUCUCGUAAGUCGACCAACUCAAUUCCCAAGAAACCAAAGCCUGCCCCAGGGCGUGGAAUCAUAUUGGAAGGAUGGCUCAACGGGCCGUGUAAGCUUCACAGCACUUCAGACGCUACACCGACCCAUAACCUUAGAGCAUGUUGGAUACUCCGGCAGGUAGCUAAGAGUGGCGAGGAUCUCCUCGAGAGCCAUAAAGUAGAACCACAUCCCGCCAAAGAACGCAAUACAGUGCUGACAGUCUUCGAGACCUUCGCCUCAAACAAUAGGCGCAAGCGAGCGCAUCGAAGCUCCGUUGAAAUUUGCCAUGUGGCAAAAGUAAAUCCAUGGAACGACAUUGCUAUAACCUUCAAUGCCAGUGACGAACCCCAAGUCCAGUCCAUCUGGGCACUGGCCGCUCUGGUCCUCAGCCCAAUAGUGGAUGGCUUUCGGCUCACUAAAGUACUCAUGGACGGCGGAAGCGGAUUGAACCUAAUCUAUGAAGAAACCCUCAAAAAGAUGGAGAUUGACAAAAGCUGCAUUGAACAAAGUGGCACGACCUUCAGGGGAAUUAUCCCUAGUCGGGAGGCUCGGUGUGCGGGAAAAAUCACACUCGACGUGGUAUUCAGCACCCCAAAGAAUUACAGGUCCGAAGAAAUCACAUUCCAAGUGGCUCCUUUCAACAGCGGAUAUCAUGCCCUUCUAGGGCGGGACGCGUUUGCGAGCUUUCAAGCCAUACCCCUUUACGGGUACAUGAAGCUUAAAAUGCCCGGACCCAAUGGAAUCAUCACUCUAGCUAGUGAUCCGGACGUUGCACUCCGCGCCGAAAACAAAACCGCAGCGCUGGGCUUGGAAGCAUUAUCCGAAGCCCUAGCGGCAGAAGAAUUAACCACGCUAUGCGCCACCGUGGACAGGGACGACGUGAUACUCGACAAGCGACCCAAGUCCACCUCAUUCAAACCCACAGAUGAGAUAGUCAAAUUCCAAGUCCACCCAACGGACCCCAUGAAGACAACUUCUAUUGGGACAUAG
rnacentral:rRNA from 1 species